GCCUGGAUAGCUCAGUUGGUAGAGCGCUCCCCUGAAGAGGGAUAGGUCACCAGUUCGACCCUGGUUCCAGGCACCA
rnacentral:tRNA from 1 species